GGCGGACUUCUCUUCUAUAUGAUAGCACCUGUCCCCUUCUUCUACGAUUAGAUAACCCCCUCGAAGCAAGGAAGGGCAUGAAUCAGAAUAGGCUCGGGAGCUAAGAGAGAUUGACAAGGUUUAAAUAAGAGUGUGCCCAGCAUCUUUCGCUAUCUAUUAUUAGAAGAAGGAAGGGAUAGGUGGAGGACUAGAAAGCCAGGAUGCGGAGAAUCCAGCUAGGAGGAAGAGGAGCUCCUAAAAGAGGUUAGGAUCGCAGCUGAGGCAGUUCCACCAACUUUAUCAAUGGCUUAUUCUAAAUAAGGAUCGGUUAGCCCCUUUCAUGCCUCCCCGGUCGGUGGUCUGUACUUCCUUACACUUAAUUUAAAUUAGAAAUAUCUUAGAAGAAAUGGAUGAAGCUUUUAUUUUAUUUCUAACUUGCCUUUACUAGCCAAGAAGACAGGAUAAUAAGGGGCUAUGUAUGUUUAUUCUACCUUCGA
rnacentral:lncRNA from 1 species